rnacentral:rRNA from 1 species
UACGUAGGGUGCAAGCGUUAAUCGGAAUUACUGGGCGUAAAGCGUGCGCAGGCGGUUUUGUAAGACAGGUGUGAAAUCCCCGGGCUUAACCUGGGAACUGCGCUUGUGACUGCAAGACUCGAGUACGGCAGAGGGGGGUGGAAUUCCACGUGUAGCAGUGAAAUGCGUAGAGAUGUGGAGGAACACCGAUGGCGAAGGCAGCCCCCUGGGUCGAUACUGACGCUCAUGCACGAAAGCGUGGGGAGCAAACGGG